CAUUCGUCUGCUGCCUGUGGUUGGUGACUGACACUAAAUCAAGGCUCAGACACAUUAAACCUCUAAUUACUGCUGAUUUCUUCCUCUAUUCUUUCUUUUCUCCAGGGCAAUACACAUAUAUGGGAAUAUAUCCAUAUGGAUGUGCUGCCUUGGGCAUACUUCUGUCCCAGUCCUGUAGCACAGCUUGGUGCAAGAUGGAGGAGGUGCAAAGCUGGUGUAAAUCUCACCUGGCUCAGGAGCAUCAUUUCAACUGCUCAGGAGGCUUCAGAAGCUUAACUUUGGCAAACAGGGAUCAGUGGCUUCAGGGCAGUCUGGGCACAAACAAAACUUUGCUCUUCAGCAAUGAGUAACUUCAUCUGAGCUGAAGCAAGACUGGAGGAAGGCUGAUAAAAAGCAAUCCAAAGGUCCCCAGUGGAUCCAACCUGUCUGCUCUGACUGUGCACAGGGAUGAGAUGCCCUCAGCGGUGUGAGGUUUGAUCAGACCCAUCCAAACACAGAGAUAAGACAAUCUUCUUCAAUAAUUGAAGUGGUAUUAAGGUCGGGCCUCUCACUUUUAGUGCUUUUCAACUCUCUUGCCAAUUAUUUCCUUGCUCUUUGCAGAGAAAUUACACUUCUCUCGGUUUGGCAUUUGUUCUGCUCUGUGCCAGCAGCUCCAGCACAGCCUGACCUCCUAGAGCAGCGGGAAUAUCAUAACUUGUUUUCAUGGAGACUGGAGGAAAGGAAUAAAUAAAUGUGGCUGGGAAUAGCAAGACUUCACCUGCUGCCUCCAGGAUAAACCAGGGAGAGCCACGGUCUGGUUGUGAGGUUACACAAA